CGGCCUAGCGCGGGGGAGGGAAGAGGCGGCGCCGCCCGGACGGCCCCACCAGGCUCGGUGGCCGCGCCGCUGCCCUCGUUCGCGGCCGAUCUGGGUUCGCCAGAGUCUCUCCCGUUCCCGCCCGAGGGCCCUGCGCAGCCAGCCUCUCCCCGCUCCGCUCCCGGCGGGGUCCGGUGUCAGCUCCAAGUUUUGAGCCGUUGCCUUUCGGGCGCUCGAGGCUGAGUGGGCGGCGCCAUCGCUCCCUGCCUUUCGCGAGAUGCGCCGGCAGCCCCGUGGAAGAUUUUGAAGAGACCAAACAAGGGAAGGGUGCUACUGGGUGUCCUGUCUAGCACACUUUUCAGUUGUAUCUACCACAGGAUCCUAAUGCAAGAUAUGUUGUACUAUUCCAGUGCUUAAAGUCAAAUUGGACAGAAUGUCGUGUCAAGCCACUUGAAAACAACGAAGGACGUGACAUCAUCUCGUCUCAUUUGUGGCAUAAUCCACCCCAGGCCACUGCCAUCCCAAGGCGCACACACUGAUUCUGUCUGGUACCGCGUGGGGUCCUCAGGAGGAACAAUGCCUACCUGUCACGCAGGGCCGUGAGCCCCCUUCCUAGAGGGGAGGGGGCAGGGGGUGGCCUGAGGGAAGCCAGUGAGAGGACACACGGUGAACCGGUCCUUGGAAGAUGAGACUUUGGGCAGGUAAAGGGGAAAGGGUGUCAGGCAG